UACAGAGACUGCAAGCGUUAUUCGGAUUCACUGGGCGUAAAGGGUGCGCAGGCGGCCAAGUGUGUGAGGCGUGAAGCCCGGGCUUAACCCGGAAUUGCACCUCAACGUACAUGGCUAGAGCAUUGGAGAGGGUAGCAGAAGUUCAAUGGUGUAGCAGUGAAAUGCGUAGAUAUCAUGAGGAAUACCAGAGGCGAAGGCGGCUACCUGGACAAUUGCUGACGCUCGAGG
rnacentral:rRNA from 1 species